rnacentral:rRNA from 1 species
GAAAGUAAAGAAGGGCGCAUGGCGGAUGCCUUGGCUCUCGGAGGCGAUGAAGGACGUGAUAAGCUGCGAUAAGCUUUGGGGAGGUGCAAAUGACCUUUGAUCCAGAGAUUUCCGAAUGGGACAACCCAAUAUCUUGAAGAGGUAUUAUCCAACGUUGUUGGAGGCUAACGCAGGGAACUGAAACAUCUUAGUACCUGCAGGAAAAGAAAAUAAACAAUGAUUCCCCCAGUAGUGGCGAGCGAACGGGGAACAGCCCAAACCAUCCAUGUUACGGCAUGGGUGGGGUUGUAGGACUACGCCGUUGCAUGAAGACAUCAGAGAAGAACUUUCUGGAAAGAAAGACCAUAGAGCAUGACAGUUGCGUAUUCGAAUGUUGUCGAAGCAUAGUAGUAUCCUGAGUAGCGCGGAGCACGAGGAAUUCUGCGUGAAUCUGCCGGGACCAUCCGGUAAGGCUAAAUACUCCCGAGAGACCGAUAGCGAACCAGUACCGUGAGGGAAAGGUGAAAAGCACUUCGAACAGAAGAGUGAAAUAGUUCCUGAAACCGUGCGCCUACAAGCGGUCGGAGCUCGUUAAUGAGUGACGGCGUGCCUUUUGCAUAAUGAACCUACGAGUUGCCUUUGCCGGCAAGGUUAAGUGUGACGACACACGUAUCCGAAGCGAAAGCGAGUCUGAACAGGGCGUAUAGUCGGCAGUGGCAGACGCGAAACCAAGUGAUCUACCCUUGGCCAGGUUGAAGGCUGGGUAACACCAGCUGGAGGACCGCACCAAUAAGCGUUGAAAAGCUUCUGGAUGAGCUGAGGGUAGGGGUGAAAGGCUAAUCAAACUUGGAGAUAGCUCGUACUCCCCGAAAUGCAUUUAGGUGCAGCCUUGCGGGUUACUGAUGUGAGGUAGAGCGACUGAUAAGAUGCGAGGGCUUCACCGCCUAUCAAGUCUUGACAAACUCCGAAUGCGCAUCAGUUCUACCGCAGGAGUGAGGGCAUGGGUGCUAAGGUCCGUGCCCGAGAGGAGAAGAAUCCGGACCACCUGCUAAGGUCCCGAAAUGACAGCUAAGUUAAACUAACGAAGUCUGACUGCUAAGACAGCUAGGAUGUUGGCUUGGAAGCAGCCAUUCAUUUAAAGAGUGCGUAACAGCUCACUAGUCGAGGAGUCUGGCGUGGAUAAUACUCGGGCAUAAACUGUUUACCGAAGCUAUGGAUGUAGUAAUACAUGGUAGGGGAGCAUUCCAUGUGCGUCGAAGGUAAGGGAUAACCGUUGCUGGAGCGCAUGGAAAAGCAAAUGUAGGUAUAAGUAACGAUAAAGGGAGUGAGAAACUCCCUCGCCGAAAGACUAAGGUUUCCUGAUCAACGUUAAUCGGAUCAGGGUAAGUCGGGACCUAAGGAUAAGCCGAACGGCGAUUCCGAUGGAAGAAUGGUUUAAUAUUCCCAUACUACUUUAUGGAGCGAUGUGGAGACGGAGAAGUGACAGUCCUGCCAUCUGACGGAAUAGAUGGUUGAAGGGUGUAGGCGUCGAUUGGGGUAGGCAAAUCCGCCUCGAGAGCUGAACCUGACAGUAUGCCGAGUACUUGUACAAGGCAAUAUGGAUGUAAUCAGGCUCCCUAGAAAAUCCGCUAAGCAUAUUCAUAAAGUACCCGUACCGUAAACGGACACACGUAGUUGGGUUGAAAAUACUGAGGCGCUCGAGUGAUUCACGGUUAAGGAACUAGGCAAAUUGACCCUGUAACUUCGGGAUAAAGGGUCCCAGCUGUAAGGCUGGGCGCAGAGAAUAGGUCCAGGCAACUGUUUAACAAAAACACAUGGCUGUGCGAAAUAGAAAUAUGAAGUAUACAGCCUGACACCUGCCCGGUGCUGGAAGGUUAAGAGGAGAGCUUAUCGCAAGAGAAGGUUUGAAUUGAAGCCCCAGUAAACGGCGGCCGUAACUAUAACGGUCCUAAGGUAGCGAAAUUCCUUGUCGGGUAAGUUC